rnacentral:lncRNA from 1 species
UGACAUGGGUCUUCGUGUUGAGUUAGACCUUUUAUAUCUAUAUAGAUUCACUUCAAAUUCUUUGUAUUAUAACUCUCUCUGGUAUUCUCUACACUAGAUAAUAUGAUACACAAACACAUGCAAAUAAGGUGGUCUUUUGAGUUCAUUUCCGCACCCAUUCUCUAGAUUUUUUGAGGUGGUCAAACAAUCAAGCCUUAGGGUUUGACUGGUUUUCCCAUCACUACUGGCAAACGUUAUGUUCGUCGGUGGUAGCGGUUUUCUUUCCAUUUUACAACAAUCACACAAAACGAAGUAAACCGCUUUGCACCAUUCC